CUGCAACUCGCCUACAUGAAGUUGGAAUCGCUAGUAAUCGCGAAUCAGAAUGUCGCGGUGAAUACGUUCCCGGGUCUUGUACACACCGCCCGUCACACCACGAGAGUUUACAACACCCGAAGUCAGUGGCCUAACGGCAAGGAGGGAGCUGCCUAAGGUGGGGUAAAUGAUUGGGGUGAAGUCGUAACAAGGUACC
rnacentral:rRNA from 1 species